GAUGAACGCUGGCGGUAUGCUUAACACAUGCAAGUCAAACGGACUCUUCGGAGUUAGUGGCGGACGGGUGAGUAACGCGUGAGAAUCUGGCUUUGGGUUCGGGACAACCACUGGAAACGGUGGCUAAUACCGGAUGUGCCGAGAGGUAAAAGAGAAAUUGCCUGAAGAUGAGCUCGCGUCUGAUUAGCUAGUUGGUGAGGUAAAGGCUCACCAAGGCAGCGAUCAGUAGCUGGUCUGAGAGGAUGACCAGCCACACUGGGACUGAGACACGGCCCAGACUCCUACGGGAGGCAGCAGUGGGGAAUUGUCCGCAAUGGGCGAAAGCCUGACGGAGCAAUACCGCGUGAGGGAAGAAGGCUCUUGGGUUGUAAACCUCUUUUCUUAGGGAAGAACAAAAUGACGGUACCUAAGGAAUCAGCAUCGGCUAACUCCGUG
rnacentral:rRNA from 1 species